rnacentral:rRNA from 1 species
ACUUAAAUUGAAGAGUUUGAUCAUGGCUCAGAUUGAACGCUGGCGGCAGGCCUAACACAUGCAAGUCGAACGGUAGCACAGAGAGCUUGCUCUCGGGUGACGAGUGGCGGACGGGUGAGUAAUGUCUGGGAAACUGCCUGAUGGAGGGGGAUAACUACUGGAAACGGUAGCUAAUACCGCAUAACGUCGCAAGACCAAAGAGGGGGACCUUCGGGCCUCUUGCCAUCAGAUGUGCCCAGAUGGGAUUAGCUAGUAGGUGGGGUAACGGCUCACCUAGGCGACGAUCCCUAGCUGGUCUGAGAGGAUGACCAGCCACACUGGAACUGAGACACGGUCCAGACUCCUACGGGAGGCAGCAGUGGGGAAUAUUGCACAAUGGGCG